rnacentral:lncRNA from 12 species
CGUUUAAGUCAGUAAUAUCUGCUGAAUGAGCUGCGAGGAGUAUCUGCUGUCAGUCUAGGUUUAGUUUUCGUAAUAUUACACCGAGCAGCGCAUUUAUAAGUCCUCUUUCAACACAUAUCCUCUUCCUGUACCUUGGCCAUCAGUGCGUCUUCGUUGCUCAGAGACAGCAGCGCAUCACAGAACACUUGCUCCUAUAAAGAGAACGGUGGAUACUGGCUUCAGCGCGCGAACAUCUGCUGCUACAGCAAUGCAGGAGUGAGGAGACGCGAUGUAUAGAGCAGUGAGGGAGCAAAACCCGGAGCGGAGUCCAGACUCUUCACCGGAAUGGAGUGCGGAGACCCUUGGAAACGACGCGUCAUGGGCUCAGUUGGGGGCAAAUGCCACAAACGUUUUUCACACCGCAGCUUGGAUAGGCCACACGGACACAUGGCAAAACUGCUUACCAGACAUCCCAAGAUGAAGGGUGUUGCUCAUGGGAGAACAGCACUUGUCAAAGAGUGUUUGUACAAAGCCUCCUUCACCAAAUCACCCUCAACAUCUGAUGCUGUAUCUAAGCAAAAGCAAAAAAGUUGCACACUAAGAAUUUGGAAAAUACAACUGCUAUAACAGUUUAAAUGCAAAACAAGUUUUAGAUAUUAAUCUUAAAUGUUAAAGCUGUCAUGUGGUAUAUACAGUACUGUACAUCUAAACACUAUUGUAAUACAACUGCCUUAAUGUGGAGACCAAAAUAUCAUAACAUUGUUCCUA